rnacentral:rRNA from 1 species
AACGAACGCUGGCGGCAGGCUUAACACAUGCAAGUCGAGCGCCCCGCAAGGGGAGCGGCAGACGGGUGAGUAACGCGUGGGAAUCUACCUAGCUCUACGGAAUAACCCAGGGAAACUUGGACUAAUACCGUAUACGUCCGAGAGGAGAAAGAUUUAUCGGAGUUAGAUGAGCCCGCGUUGGAUUAGCUAGUUGGUGGGGUAAUGGCCUACCAAGGCGACGUUCCAUAGCUGGUCUGAGAGGAUGAUCAGCACCACUGGGGCUGAGACACGGCCCAGACUCCUACGGGAGGCAGCAGUGGGGAAUAUUGGACAAUGGGCGAAAGCCUGAUCCAGCCAUGCCGCGUGAGUGCCGAAGUCCCUAGGGUUGUAAAGCUCUUUCAACGGUGAAGAUAAUGACGGUAACCGUAGAAGAAGCCCCGGCUAACUUCGUGCCAGCCGCCGCGGUAACAC